rnacentral:rRNA from 1 species
AACUAAAUAUAGCUCAAAACCCAAUCUUAUUAAAAUUAUUUUAACAAUAAUUAAAAUAAAACAUUUUAAAUAAUUAAAGUAUAGGCGAUAGAAAUUUUAUCUGACGCUAUAGAUAGAGUACCGUAAGGGAAACUUGAAAGAAAAUUUAAAGUAAGAAAUAGCAAAGCUUAAAUCUUGUACCUUUUGCAUAAUGAUUCAACUAGUAAAUAUUAGCAAAAAGAAUUAAAGUUAAACAGCCCGAAACCAGACGAGCUACCUGUCAGCAGCAAGCAGAGUGAACUCAUCUAUGUAGCAAAAUAGUGAGAUGACUGAUAGGUAGUGGCGACAAACCUACCGAGCCUGGUGAUAGCUGGUUAUCCAGAAUAGAAUUUUAGUUCUAACUUAAAUCUACCAAAAAAUAAACAAAUUAUAAUGCAGGUUUAAGUAAUAAUCUAAAAAGGUACAGCUUUUUAGAUAAGGGAUUAAACCCCCUUUAGAGAGUAAGCUAUAACUAAACCACAAUAGUUGGCCUAAAAGCAGCCACCAACCAAGAAAGCGUUCAAGCUCAAUAGCAUAAAGAUUUAAUACCAAAAUAAACUAGUACUCCUAAUAUAAGACUGGAUUAUUCUAUUAAAAAAUAGAAGAGAUACUGUUGAUAUGAGUAACAAGAAUUAUUUCUCCCUGCAUAUGUGUAUAUCAGAACGAAUGCCUCACUGAUAAUUACCAAAAUAAAUAAUACCUAUAACUAGCUAUUUUUACUAAUUGUUAAUCCGACACAGGAAUGCAAUUUAAGGGAAAGAUUAAAAAAAGUAAAAGGAACUCGGCAAACAUAAACCCCGCCUGUUUACCAAAAACAUCACCUCUAGCAUAAAAAGUAUUAGAGGCACCGCCUGCCCAGUGACCUUAGUUCAACGGCCGCGGUAUCCUGACCGUGCAAAGGUAGCAUAAUCACUUGUUCCCUAAAUAGGGACUUGUAUGAAUGGCCCCACGAGGGUUUUGCUGUCUCUUACUUUUAAUCAGUGAAAUUGGCAUUCCCGUGAAGAGACGGGAAUAAUAUAAUAAGACGAGAAGACCCUAUGGAGCUUUAACUUAUCAGCCCAUACUACUAAAAAUUAACCUUUCCACAGGAAAUAAAUAUAUUUUAAUUGGACUGAAAGUUUAGGUUGGGGUGACCUCGGAAUAAAACACAACCUCCGAGAAAAAAUCUAUUUAGACCCACAAGUCAAAAUAAUAAUAUUCUACUGAUCCGCUAUCAGCGAUCAACGAAACAAGUUACCCUAGGGAUAACAGCGCAAUCCUAUUUAAGAGUUCAUAUCGACAAUUAGGGUUUACGACCUCGAUGUUGGAUCAGGACAUCCUAAUGGUGCAGCAGCUAUUAAUGUGUUCGUUUGUUCAACGAUUAAAGUCCUACGUGAUCUGAGUUCAGACCGGAGUAAUCCAGGUCGGUUUCUAUCUAUUAACAAGUCCCUCCCAGUACGAAAGGACCAGAGAGACAGAGCCCACUUAAAAUAAGCGCCCUAACAAAAUAGAUGAAAUAAUCUCAAUCUUUAUAUAAUUACUAAAGAUUAUAGAUAAAAAAUA